AAAAAGCUCGUAGUCCGAGCUCAGUUCCGGACUGGCCGGGGAGGUCACCGCCCGGUGCCUUGCCUGGGCCAGGCUCCGAACCAAUGCCCCCGGUCUCCGGGGGCGACACGCCGGUGCUCGCCGGGGUGCUCUUGACCGAGUGUCCCGCGCGGCCGGCCAGUUCACCUUGAAUAAAUGAGAGUGCUCAAAGCAGGCUACUCUUGAAACCUAAAGCCCGAAUGUUACCUGCAUGGAAUGAUGGAAGAUGAUCUCGGUUCCAUUUUAUUGGGGGUGGGAAUCCGAGUUAAUGAUAAACAGGGACUGUCGGGGGCAUCCGUACUACGACGCGAGAGGUGAAAUUCAGUGACCGUCGUAGGACGAACGACAGCGAAAGCAUUUGCCAAGAAUGUCUUCGUUGAUCAAGAACGAAAGUUAGAGGAUCGAAGGCGAUCAGAUACCGCCCUAGUUCUAACCCUAAACGAUGCUGACUAGCAAUUCGCCGUCGUUAUUCCCAUGACGUGGCGAGACGCCCCCGGGAAACCUCAAGUCUUUGAGUUCCGGGGGUAGUAUGGUUGCAAAACUGAAACUUAAAGGAAUUGACGGAAGGGCACCACCAGGAGUGGAGCCUGCGGCUUAAUUUGACUCAACACGGGGAACCUCACCAGGCCCGGACACCAGAAGGAUUGACAGACCAAGAGCUCUUUCUCGAUUUGGUGG
rnacentral:rRNA from 1 species